rnacentral:lncRNA from 1 species
CGUGGUUUUAAGGGAAAAUCGCUCCACGAAAAUCGGGAAAUUAAUGGAAAAUCAUACGGAAAAAUUGUCGGGCAGUGGAGCAGUCCAGUGUAAUUGGUUUUGUGGAGCAGAGUUUUGUGUAACGAAGUGGUUUGGUGAAGCGUUGCAAAAAUUGCAAAAAAAAACAGUUACUGAUCCAGAGCGGCGUCCACCGUCAAAAUGGUAUACAAAUGGCUGAGCGGCAGAGCAAAUGAGGCAAUGAAUGAGAAAGUGUACAGUACAAAAUGAUGUACAAAAUUUGCUCGUACAUACAUAUUUACAUUUUCUAUGCAUAUGCAAAUUUGUAGGUGAAGUGAUAUCUGGCAAUGUGUGUAAGUGUGUUUGCGUUUGCAAAAAAUGCGGCGCAGAAGAUGUGCGCAGAAGAUGUCCCUUCUCCAAUGCCCAACGUGAAGAAGAGGAGAAAAGCAAUAAGAAAGGAGCGAGUGUAAAGCGUAUCGACGCUCUCUCUCUCUUAUUGAAUGGUGAGGUGAGGCCUUGCAGAUCUGACUCUCUCUUGUUAGUGUUUCCACAGGAAACUCAGUGCUGUUAUGCCUCACCUUAUAUUAACCUACACAAAAUAUGCGCUCUCAUUGAAAUGUGUUUGGAAUUAAUUCGUAUUUGUAUCGUAGCAGUAAAUACUUGUCUCUGACUCAAGUGGCCCUCUAUCUCACCCACCGGAAAAUUUCAGCACGUGAAUCCAGCAGCUUGUUGACUAAUUAAACACUUGAAGUAAGAAUCACUCACAUGAGAACUUGAGCUUAUCGUCGACGAGAUCACUUUAGAGACGAGCUAUAAAAGGGGGCUCCCGUGUGGGUGCCUCUAAGUCAGUCAUGACGUUACUACACAACUUACUGGUAACAAGAGAAUGUGCUGGGGCUGCACUGCACCCUCGGGCGUGCUGCUGCCGUAGAUCUAAGCCUUGAUCAAAUCAUCAAUCAAGGCCAACUGGGUGUUAAGUGUUGCUCCACUCUUAAAAAUGAAUCAAAAGUUAAAGACAUUUACAUCUUUAUAGACGGGCAACCACGAUUGGAUGGAAAUGCUGCAGAUGUUCCUGCCUGGCAGGAGUAUCACCUACCAAGGCGAGGAGCUGCAUAUGACAGACCUCCAUAUCAGCUGGGAGGACACUCGCGAUCCGGCAGGUUGCAACUCGAACGCAGACAUCUACGAUCUACUCACGCAACCCAGUGCGGACUCCAUUCCACUGGAGCAACAAAGCGAAUGCAUGAAUGAAUCUCCUCGAACAGCAGCACCUGGCUGCCGAUAAACCCCAACUACCAGACUAUCAAUGUCAAAACGGAGAAUGCCAGCACCACCAGGCACCUGAGCUUGGCAUCCAAUCCCCAGGCGAAGGCAUCUGUGCUGUAAGUUUUCAUCAAAUAUAAUUAUCUUCCAAUGUUUCUACUUCUAUAUAUCCCUGUAGCGUUAACGUUACCCUUAGCAGUCUUUCCCUGGAACCAUACACUUCCUUGAUUUUGGAGUCUGUGUAGGGCAAUGUUUUAAUCAGAAAUUCAUGGAGUGAAAUAUAAAUAUUUGCGCACAUGUACCCGUACUCGUACUCGUAGUAGCAUUCGUGCUGGUAUUUGGGGCGAACGACAUUGGAAAACUUUUCAAUUUAAGGUCGUAUUCGUGGCCAACUUAUUGCAAAUUAUGAGGGAACUUCGUCCUCAGUCAAGCACGGCUGGGCGGGGUGCAAAAGAAAUUCCAUUAGUCGUGAUUGAUAAGACACACAAAUCACGCAUCCGAAGCGUUGCCUCCCUGCCAAAAUGAAAGCCGUCCUUCAGAGACCGCAGAAGGUGUCGCGGAAGUGCGGCAAGUGUGGGUGUGGGCAUGUACUCGUAGUUGGUGAGAGUAACAGGCGUCGUAGCAGCGUAGCUUCUCCCUGCUUGGAUUUUUAAUUUAUUCGCUCAAAUUUAAGUGAAAUUUUGUUGAGUUUUCAGCUUCGUUCAGGGAGAACUGCAGUAUCAUCGUUAGCCUCGACACAGACUCCUUCCCACGGACCUACCUCAUUUCGUCUGCAUUGACGCGACAAUUGGUCUGUCAUCUGCGUGCUUCUCUGUGGGAUUAACUGUCAACCCAGCGGCAAACGUGCGCGGCAUGCCGAGUGCCAUAGACUCCUGGCGAGCAUAAGUCAACCCUUUGGCCAACAGUUAUGAGCCAGCCAGCUCGUUCUCGUUCUUCGUUGCGGUGCAAUUAAUGAGAUGACGGGCGGCCGGCCGGCCAGCUAGUAAAUGAACUUCCCCAGCUUCAGCUUCGAUUCUCCGAUUCGUUCCUGGCCAGCUGGCACGUGCCGAUCCAGAUACCUCAGCCAGAGCCAGUCCCACAUCAGCGACCCAUCAGCCUGGCGAAACUCAAAUAUGAAGCCGUGCGGGCAAACAUAAUUAAUAUGCAAACGUUGUCGGUGCUGUGAAUACGUUAACUAAAUGUGCAAGAGCCAGGGCUACCUUCC